GACGAACGCUGGCGGCGUGCUUAACACAUGCAAGUCGAACGAGAGCGUAGAGAAAGCUUGCUUUUUCUACAAUCUAGUGGCAAACGGGUGAGUAACGCGUAAACAACCUGCCCUACGGAUGGGGACAACAGCUGGAAACGGCUGCUAAUACCGAAUACGUUCCGAAAGUCGCAUGACUAUCGGAAGAAAGGAUGGCCUCUAUUUAUAAGCUAUCGCCGGAGGAGGGGUUUGCGUCUGAUUAGCUAGUUGGAGGGGUAACGGCCCACCAAGGCGACGAUCAGUAGACGGUCUGAGAGGAUGAACGGCCACAUUGGAACUGAGACACGGUCCAGACUCCUACGGGAGGCAGCAGUGGGGAAUCUUCCGCAAUGGGCGAAAGCCUGACGGAGCAACGCCGCGUGAGUGAAGACGGCCUUCGGGUUGUAAAGCUCUGUUAUACGGGACGAAUAAUCUUGUGGUUAAUACCCAUGAGAAGUGACGGUACCGUAAGAGAAAGCCACGGCUAACUACGUGC
rnacentral:rRNA from 1 species